GACGAACGCUGGCGGCGUGCUUAACACAUGCAAGUCGAACGGAAAGGCCCUGCUUUUGUGGGGUGCUCGAGUGGCGAACGGGUGAGUAACACGUGAGUAACCUGCCCUUGACUUUGGGAUAACUUCAUGAAACUUGGGCUAAUACCGGAUAGGAGCUCCUGCUGCAUGGUGGGGGUUGGAAAGUUUCGGCGGUUGGGGAUGGACUCGCGGCUUAUCAGCUUGUUGGUGGGGUAGUGGCUUACCAAGGCUUUGACGGGUAGCCGGCCUGCGAGGGUGACCGGCCACAUUGGGACUGAGAUACGGCCCAGACUCCUACGGGAGGCAGCAGUGGGGAAUAUUGCACAAUGGGCGGAAGCCUGAUGCAGCAACGCCGCGUGCGGGAUGACGGCCUUCGGGUUGUAAACCGAUUUCGCCUGUGACGAAGCGUGAGUGACGGUAAUGGGUAAAGAAGCACCGGCUAACUACGUG
rnacentral:rRNA from 1 species